rnacentral:rRNA from 1 species
ACACAUGCAAGUCGAACGGAGUUUAAUUGACAGAAGCCUUCGGGCAGAAGACGAUUAAACUUAGUGGCGGACGGGUGAGUAACGCGUGGAUAACCUGCCUUAUAGAGGGGGACAACAGUUGGAAACGACUGCUAAUACCGCAUAAGGUCUCGAGACCGCAUGAUCUUGAGAAGAAAGAUGGCCUCUGAAAAUGCUAUCGCUAUAAGAUGGAUCCGCGUCUGAUUAGCUAGUUGGUGAGGUAACGGCCCACCAAGGCAACGAUCAGUAGCCGGUCUGAGAGGGUGAACGGCCACAUUGGGACUGAGACACGGCCCAAACUCCUACGGGAGGCAGCAGUGGGGAAUCUUCCGCAAUGGGCGAAAGCCUGACGGAGCAAUGCCGCGUGAAUGAAGAAGGCCUUCGGGUCGUAAAAUUCUGUCCUUAUUGAAGAGAGGUUCAUGUGUAAACAAUGCAUGAAUAGGACGGUAGAUAAGGAGGAAGCCCCGGCUAACUACGUGCCAGCAGCCGCGGUAAUACGUAGGGGGCGAGCGUUGUCCGGAAUCACUGGGCGUAAAGGGCGCGUAGGCGGCCUAGUAAGUCAGAUGUGAAAAGUGAGGGCUCAACCCUUAGAGUGCAUCUGAUACUGCUAGGCUUGAGUACAGAAGAGGAAAGCGGAAUUCCUAGUGUAGCGGUGAAAUGCGUAGAUAUUAGGAGGAACACCAGUGGCGAAGGCGGCUUUCUGGGCUGAAACUGACGCUGAGGCGCGAAAGCGUGGGGAGCAAACAGGAUUAGAUACCCUGGUAGUCCACGCCGUAAACGAUGGGUACUAGGUGUCGGGGG